GGGGAGCAAACAGGAUUAGAUACCCGGGUAGUCCACGCCGUAAACGAUGUCGAUUUGUAGGUUGUGCCCUUGAGGCGUGUCUUCCGGAGCUAACGCGUUAAAUCGACCGCCUGGGGAGUACGGCCGCAAGGUUAAAACUCAAAUGAAUUGACGGGUGCCCGCACAAGCGGUGGAGCAUGUGGUUUAAUUCGAUGCAACGAGAAGAACCUUACCUGGUCUUGACAUCCACAGACCUUUCCAGAGAUGUAUUG
rnacentral:rRNA from 1 species